rnacentral:ncRNA from 1 species
AAGUAUAAGCUCUAGCGCAAGUGGGUGAGAAAUCACCUGCUAUACACUGUCAAAUUGCGGGAAAAUCCUAAAGCUCUGCAUACCAAACUGCUGACUGAAAAGUCACAGUGGCCGGGUUAAUGACCUAGGGUAAGGUAAAAACUGCAGAGAUGCAACAAUGGACUAUCCGCAGCCAAAUCCUACAGGAUCCCACCAACUCUGGUGAGAUUUCAUGGAUGCAGUUCACAGACUAAAUGGCAGUGGGCAGCUUUUGCUGCUUAAGAUAUAGUCGGUCCCUAUCGAGAGAUAGUC